UACGUAGGGAGCAAGCGUUGUCCGGAAUCAUUGGGCGUAAAGCGCGCGUAGGCGGCCUCAUAAGUCCGUUGUGAAAGUUAAAGGCUCAACCUUUGAAAGCCGAUGGAUACUGUGAGGCUAGAGUCCGGAAGAGGCGAGUGGAAUUCCUGGUGUAGCGGUGGAGUGCGCAGAUAUCAGGAGGAACACCAAUAGCGAAGGCAGCUCGCUGGGACGGUACUGACGCUAAGGCGCGAAAGCGUGGGGAGCGAACAGG
rnacentral:rRNA from 1 species